UGCGGGGCCGCGAGCCCUGGCGGGGGCCGGCCCGUCCCGCUGUCCCCGGAGCGCCGGGAGCGGACGGUGCACGCUCGGAGCUGAGGAUGGAUUCGCGAGGGAGGCAGAAGACGUUUGCGGAGCAGCCACGGAGACCUGGGGAAGGCGAGGUCUCGGAGCAGCAGCUUUACAGGCAUCUUCGUUCGGGAGCACCUCCACACCUGAUCAGAGGAGUAAGAUUAGCCCUUCCUCUCUGUCUUGGAACUGCCCACUGGACACUGGAGCAGCAACUUUCCUGGAAGAACCUCCAUUUGUGAUUGUUUUUCUCUGUUUCACAAUUAGCAAUUUUAUCAUAUCAUAAGCCAGUGUUACAAAGUACAACAGAAUCAACCUUAGCCCAGCCCCCAGAGGUGAUAAACAGCACAAAGGGAGCACACACACCAAGUGAGGCACUGCAUGACGCAAACCUGAGAACAAGAGCAACACCUCUUGAGAACAAACAAAUCAACAUUGUGUCCAAUGACUAUUAAAUUAAUAUAAUGAAUGCUUGUAAUAAAUUUGUUUUAC